GACAGAGGUCACGAGCGUUAUCCGGAAUCACUGGGCGUAAAGCGUGUGUAGGCGAAGCAGUAAGUCGGGGGUUAAAUCUCCAAGCUCAACUUGGAAUCUGUUCCCGAAACUACUGCUCUAAAGAAGAACGGAGAGGCAAGUGGAAUUCUGUGUGUAGGGGUAAAAUCCGUAGAUACACGGAGGAACGCCAAAAGCGAAAGCAGCUUGCCGGCCGUCUCUUGACGCUGAGACACGAAAGCGUGGGGAGCAAACAGG
rnacentral:rRNA from 1 species